CAUUCAUUCUCGCACUCUCGCCUGCCCUCUCCUGCUCCCAGCCGUGACUCACCCCGGGCCCGAGGUUCCUGCGGGCACCCGCGGACUCCGGCGACUCCCGCGGCCGUGUCUCUUCCCGGCGUCCAGCCGAGCUCGAAAAACCGGUGCGACUUCUUCGGGAGGCGAUUGCAGCCGACCCUCCCCUCUGCGGCCCUAGAAGAUGCAGCGAAGGAGGGGCUUGGCAGGCAGCGCGAGGUGGCUCCCGGCCGCAGGCUGAGCGCAGAGCACGGCAGACCUCCCCGAACGCGGGCGGGGAUCAAUCUGGGAAAGUUCUCUGGGUGCCGCUCCCAGCAACUUUCAGGGGUGGGGCCCGGGAAGGGAUAAGCCACCUCCGCACCUCCUCCGGUUUCGGAAACUGCUUCCCGACUACGUCGUGUGCGGGCCGGGGGGCACCCGCGCUGACUCAAGGGGUGGUGCCCCGCCUAGGUCAAGUGGGUGGGUUUCCAAACAUCACAAGACCGCUUGGCGAGGUUAGUCACCAUGCCCGGUGGCACCUCUAGGUGAGCUGGAAGGGUGAUUGCACCUAAUGAGGCUAAUGAUGCUAACCACCUUGUCAUUGGCCCCGUUAGGUGAAUUGCGUUUUGGCAAGUAUGAGAAACCGGAACCAGGAUGACCGCUGAAAGAGUGACUCUCCACUUAAAUGGACUUACAACCACAGAUGUAAUGCAGAAGCUUAGUGUCUGAUGCAUGAGUAACACAGAGAGUCAAGAUUCUGUCCGGCCAAUGUGGGUGAACAACCCACCUCCUCCCUACUUCACCACUCAAAUAUUUGUACAUUAGGGAGGUAGGUAUAAGUAAAAAUUUCUACAGAACUCAGAAAAAUGGCAUUGUAAGGUUUGUGAAGUUUUGAAAGCCCCCAAGCCUUCAGUCUUGUGUGCACUGUGGAAGAAUAUGAAUGCUACAGAUUCUACAUGGGCCUCCGUGUGGAAGGCUGUUUAACAGGCAGCUUGGAACAUUUGGUCGUAUCGUGAUUCAGUUGGCUAUCCUAUCAUGCCACUUACAAAAAAUAGGGUUAUAGGACAUUCCUAUAACCCUAGUCCUUGGGAGGCAGAGUUGGGAGGAUCAGGACUUCAAGACUGACCUCCUCCAUAUAUAGGGACUUCCGGUCAACCUGGGUUACAUGAGACCCUCACUCUAAAAGCUUUAAACACAAAAACAAAGGAGUAAGACUGUAUUUAUGGCCUGGUACAUGAGCUGGCUUGUUGGAGCCCAUUCCCCUGGUGGGAUGUCAUGCUCAGUCUUAAUGCAUGGGAGAGGGGCCUGGCCCUGCUCCAACCUAAUGAGCCAGACUAUGUUGACUCCUCAUGGAAGCCCUUACCCACCAGGAGGAGUGGACUGGGG
rnacentral:lncRNA from 1 species